AUGGAGUUUGCUACGGGGGCGAUGAGCUCUCUCCUCCCCAAGCUGGGGGAGCUGCUCGUAGAGGAGUACGACCUGCAGAAUAGUGUGAAGCAGGGGAUCAAGGACCUCCGGGAGGAGCUCUUGAUGAUGCAAGCUGCACUUGUGAAGGUGUCCAAUGUGCCACUGGAAGAUCUUGAUCCCGUGGUCAGGAUUUGGGCCAACGACGUCAGGGAGCUAUCAUUUGCCAUCGAGGACAGCCUCGACUCCUUCAUGGUUCGUGUGGUGGGUCUUGAGCCAACCAAGCCUCACACCUUCUUGGGGUUCAUCAAGGAGACAAAGAGCAAGGUCACCAAGCUCAAGGUUCGCCGCGAAAUAGCCAAGAACAUCAAAGGCGUCAAAAUCCAAGUUAAAGAGGCGAAGGAGAGGUACGAUAGAUACAAAGAUGUUAUCAGUGAUGCAAGUGUUGCAACAAAGGUUGAUCCCCGCCUCUUAACUCUGUACAACAAAGUAUCUAACCUUGUCGGCAUCGACGAGGCUAUCGAUGAGCUAACAAAGAGGCUGUCCAAGAGCGAUGAUGUGGCCCAGCAACAGCCCAAGACUGUUUCUGUCGUUGGAUUUGGAGGACUGGGCAAGACAACUCUUGUUAAGGCAAUAUAUGACAACCUUAAGAAGGAAUUUGAUUGUGGGGGUUUUGUUAUAGUUGGUCGGAAUCCUGACCAGAAGAAAGUCCUUAGAGACAUCCUCCAUGAACUUGACAAGCACAAGCACAUCACUGAAUCAAAAAUGGAUGAAAGACAACUCAUCGACCAACUGCAAGAAUUCCUUGCAGACAAGAGGUACCUAAUUGUUAUUGAUGACAUUUGGGAUGUAUCAACAUGGGAAAUGAUUAAAUGUGCAUUGGCAGAUAGUAACUCUGGAAGUAGAGUAAUCACAACUACUCGUAUUCAUGAAGUUGCCAAAAAAGUUGGUGGUGUUUACAACAUGAAACCACUUUCUGAUGAUAACUCCAAAAAGCUAUUCCAUAGCAGAAUAUUUGGAGAUGAAGGUACAAGUCUUGAUGAUCAGUCAGAUGAACUUUCUGAUAAUUUCUUCGGAGAAUGUGGUGGUGUGCCAUUGGCUAUCAUUACGUUAGCUAGCUUUCUUGUUAGUAAGCCAAGGGGUGUCUGGUGUAAGGUGUUUGACUCAAUUGGUUUUGGUCAGGAACACAAUGAAGCUAUUCAAAACACAAGACAAAUAUUGUCUUUUAGCUAUUAUGAUCUACCUUUCCAUUUGAAGACUUGUUUGUUGCACUUAAGUGGGUAUCCAGAAGAUAUCUUCAUUCCCAAAAAUACGGUGAUAUGGAAGUGGGUAGCGGAAGGAUUUAUACCUAUGGGUCAAGAGAUCAGUGCAUUUGAGCUGGGACAAAGCUACUAUAAUGAUCUUAUAAAUAGGAGUAUGAUACAGUCAAUAGAGCCAGACAGUAUGGAGAUGAUAGAUGGUUGCCGUGUUCACGACAUUGUGCUCGAUCUCAUCCGCACCUUGUCAAGAGAAGUAAACUUUGUUACAAUACUAGACAAGGUGCAACACAACACAUGUUCGGCCAGCACAAGCAUGAGCACUCGUAGGUUAGCCAUACAUGGUGGAUCCAUUGGCCAUAUGGAUAUGGGAUAUGUGAGGUCAUUUAAUGUUAUCAGGUCUGUUGGUCUUGUUCUGCCUCCACUUCUGAGCUUUAAAGUAUUACGAGUACUGGCCCUAGAGUACUGUGAUUUCCCCGUAGGAGGUUGUAAUUUUGAUCAUCUUGGGAAGUUGGUUCAGCUGAGGUACCUAGGGAUGAUGGGAACACCUGUUACUGAGCUCCCAAGUGACUUAGGGCAUCAUCUCAAGUUCUUGCAGGCACUGAAUAUUAAGCACACCGGCAUAAAAGAAUUACCAUCUUCUGUAGGUGAGCUAACCAAGCUAAUGUGUCUGCAUGCUUUUGAGGGCACAAGGAUGAUGGGCAGUAUAGGGAAGCUGACGUCCCUAGAAGAGCUAGAGCUACACCAUGUCGACAAAUCCCCAGACUUCACAACCGAGUUGGGAAAGCUGACACAGUUGAGGGUGCUCGAAAUCUAUUUCGACGAGAUGGACGAGAGUGUGCAUAGGGCUCUCGCCAAGUCUUUGUGCAACCUGCAUAGAGUGCAGACUCUCAAGAUCUGGGUUGAGCAGGAUGAAUCAGUUCAGGUUGAUUGGUGGGAAGUGUGGGCUCCCCCUUCAGAUCUCCGCCAGUUGUCAUUGUCAGGCAUGAUUUUACCAAGGCGUCCAUCGUGGAUGGAACCUUCUUGUCUUCCACAUAUCUCCUACCUAUGGUUCGAAGUGGGAGAGUUGAAAGCACAAGAUCUACAAAUCCUCGGGAGGUUGAAGUCACUUCGCUUUCUGUACCUAUCAGCUAACGAUGAACACACCCUAUCAUAUACUGUUGGUAGCCAUGAGUUCCAGAACUUGACAUAUCUUGACACAGACAUAAAGAUUGUAUGUGGAGAGGGUGCAUUGCCAAUGCUUGAAGAAUUGGAAUGCUAUGCUAGUGUGGGAAAUGAUGUUGGCUUGGCAAGAAAUAUGCCUUUCCUCAAGGAAGUCAAAUACACGCUCGAUUCCCUGGACGACUGUUCUGGUGAGGAGGUGGAGGCAACAGAGGACGCGCUGAGGCACGCUGCAAAAACGCACCCCAACCAUCCCAAAAUCAAGAUAUCAAGAUCAGACGAAGAGUCUGAUGAUUCUGACGAUGAUGACAACAGUGAUGACGGAUUGGAGGAAGUGUCUUCAUCAGAUGAAAAAAAGUAUGACGAGGAUGGAGAUGGCGGAUCCGAGGAGGAGGUCUCAGGUACUGACCAAGAGAUGACGAGGACGAAGGAUCCAAGAGAGUUAACAAUGGAGAUGAAGAGGAAGAGUAUGACGAUGAUGAAGAUGGCGGAUCCGAGGAGGAGGUUUCCGGUACUGACCAAGAGGUAUACGCUACAGCUGACUACUUACAUCAACCCAUUACCUUUUUUUUGGGACACCAUUAACUCUUGUUGCAUACGUAUGACAUGA
rnacentral:rRNA from 1 species